rnacentral:misc_RNA from 1 species
GAUGAAGAACGCAGCGAAAUGCGAUACGUAAUGUGAAUUGCAGAAUUCAGUGAAUCAUCGAAUCUUUGAACGCACAUUGCGCCCUCUGGUAUUCCGGGGGGCAUGCCUGUUCGAGCGUCAUUAUAACCACUCAAGCUCUCGCUUGGUAUUGGGGUUCGCGGUUCCGCGGCCCCUAAAAUCAGUGGCGGUGCCUGUCGGCUCUACGCGUAGUAAUACUCCUCGCGAUUGAGUCCGGUAGGUCUACUUGCCAGCAACCCCCAAUUUUUACAGGUUGACCUCGGAUCAGGUAGGGAUACCCGCUGAACUUAAGCAUAUCAAUAAGCGGAGGA